rnacentral:piRNA from 1 species
UGUCUGGUGGUGUAGCUUUGGUUACCUGC